GCUCCCCUAACUCAGAACGAGCUCCUCAACUGGCAGGUACGAGAAUCGUCUUUCCGCCGGCGUAGGACCGACUGAAUACGAUACAGUCCAAGCGUUUCUAGUGACUACGUCUUGCGACUCUUCUUCAGGACGAACUCCGCCAACAGCUCCCUUCCACAGGCCCCUAUUGCCGUCACCCCCAACUCUCUUUGGUCCUGUCUUUUCUCUCCGUCUGUACCCAAGUUGAGACCGAGCCCCCGCAUCCCGGAUUCAAUGCCCGCCCCCGACGGUCGGCCCGCUGUGGCCACGCCUCCCGGGGCGGGGAAAAGGCGGGCCAUUCAAAUUAGAUAUGGCGUUACAGAGAGAGAGCGAGAGAGAAAGGCAGACAGACAGACGUAGCAACGACAGACGCACCAAUCUUAAAAUGUAGAGCACUAAAAACUCUGCCCCAGGGCGGUGACUGCCAUAGCACUGUCCGAGAAGCGAGGGGAGCGAGCGGUGGGAUGAGCGCGACUUGGCCCACCGGAUCGGUUUGAUCCAUUUUGUCACAGUGUGCAUGGGAAUAAGGACCCACCACUAACCAAAUGUAAAACCACCAGCCAAGAGUAAGGGUCCCCUUAUGCUGGUGGAGGAAGAAGAGGAAGAAACCUGAAGAAGUUGAGAGUUCUUGGAGGCUCCCCAGUCACUAACAACCUAAAAAGAUAAACGAAACAUUUAGCUCAUGUGUUAUGGGCACCCUCCUUUUCUCUGUCUCACCGCCAGAAGAUUCUAGAAACUGCUUUGCAGACUCUCCUCAGGGCCUUAGAAGGUAAGGGUGAGAGAAGAAUGGUGAGGAGUUGGGUUGCGUCUAUUGGUGGUGAGAGUGGAGGUCCGGAAAACUGUGUUUGCUGCUUCUCUCUGUCUCUCUCCCUCAGCCAUCAGGUCCCGUCGCAGAACACUUGGUGCAAUUCCAGGAGAGUCUUGUUAAAAAGCCUGUGGUUCUGCAUCUCCAACAUGCUCAGGGGACCCCGGUGCUGCUGGUCUGGGGACCACACUUUGAGCAGCGAGACUGUGGCAAACUGUCCCACCUCGAGUCAUUUUUAUUCAUUUAUUUAUUUUAGGUUUUAUUUAUUUAUUGGACAGAGAGAGACACAGCGAGAGAGGGAACACCAGCAGGCGGAGUGGGAGAGGGAGAAGCAGGCUUCCCGCUGAGCAGGGAGCCCGAUGCGGGGCUCGAUCCCAGGACUCUGUGAUCAUGACCCGAGCCGAAGGCAGACGCUUAACGACUGAGGCACCCAGGCAGCCCUCGAGUCAUUUUGAACACAGGGUAUAUGUGGCCUCAGCUUAGCCGGCUAUUGCUAGAAAAAACAAUCUCCUUUCCCCACUGCAACGUCUGACCGACUAACCCGGUAGUUCUGAUGCCAGUCGUAGAAGUAAAAGCUUCUGUUUGUAACUGGGGAAAAGGAGAAGGGGAGAAGGACUGAGGGGGAGAGGGAAGGGUCAGAGAGAAGGACGAGGAAGUCCGAGGAAACAAAACGGUCGGUCUCUCCAACCAGGUCUCUUCAAGUAGGUAUGAAAGCUGAGGUGAUGGAAAGAACCUGAUGGAGCUGUGUAAGAGGACAGUGGGGACACUGAAAUGAAGGCAGGGCCGCCGCGGGACCAGGCAGAGCGGGUGCGGUGGGGCCUGGACUUGAGGAUGCUGGCAGGGACCCAACAGCCCCCUGGAGCCGAAGGACGGAACACUUGGGGGCACCUGGAGUUGGCAGCCUUGGCACGGGCAGACGUUCUCUGGUUGUGCAUAGGCUUCCCCAACAGCUCUGUGAGGAGCGGAUGGGGUUGAAGGGCAGCAGGAGAGGACUGGGAGAGCAUGGCAGAUGCCCCUGGCUGACCACGGGGACAAGGUCACGUUCACCUGUGUGAUCCCAGGGCCCACGCGGUGACAGGUGCAGAGCAGGUGUGACACCAAAGAAUCAGUUGAAUCAAAAAUUUGUGGGGCGCCAGACGAACCAUGAGAGACAAUGGACUCUGAAAAACAAACUGAGGGUUCUAGAGGGGAGGGGGGUGGGAGGAUGGGUUAGCCUGGUGAUGGGUAUUAAAGAGGGCACGUUCUGCAUGGAGCACUGUGUGUUAUGCACAAACAAUGAAUCAUGGAACACUACAUCUAAAACUAAUGAUGUAAUGUGUGGUGAUUAACAUAACAAUAAAAAUUUUUUAAAAAAUUGGGGGGCGCCUGGGUGGCCCAGUCCUUAAGCAUCUGCCUUCGGCUCAGGUCAUGAUCCCGGGGUCCUGGGAUCGAGCCCCGCGUCGGGCUCCCUGCUCAGCGGGAAGUCCGCUUCUCCCUCUCCCCCUCCCCCUGCUUGUGUUCCCUCUCUCCCUGUGCUUCUCUCUGUCAAAUAAAUAAAAUCUUUAAAAAAAAAAAAAAACUUUAAAAUUAAUUUACGAUUCUAUUUAAAGAUUUAUUUGAGAGAGAGAGAGCGCACGCGAGUGAGAGGGCAGAGGGAGAAGGAGAGAGAAUCUCAGACUCCGCCGAGCUGAGCACUGAGCAGGGAUGCCAGGACCCUGCGAUCGUGACCUGAGCCGAAACCCGUGUCAGACACUUAACUGACUGCGCCAUCCAGGAGCCCCGGAACCAAAAUUAAAAAAAAAACAGGUUAUCAGAAGGUUUUUCAAAACAAAAAUCCAGGGGCGGCCUGGCUGACUCAGUCGGUAGGGCGUGCAACUCUUGAUCUCAGAGUUGGAGGAUAUAGAGAUUACUUAAACAUAAGGUCCUAGAAAAGAAAAAAGAAAAGAAAAAAAAAAGCAAAGAAACAUCCAGAAAUAGAUGUAAAUAUAUAUGAGGACUUUUUUUUUAUAUGAUACAGGUGGCAUCCGAAACCAAUGAUUAGAUGGGCCAUUCCAUAUAUGAUGCUGGGACAACUGGGUAGCCAUCCAGAAAAAAAGUCCGAUUUAUACGGGAACUCAUAUACUAGGACAAAUACGAAGUGAACUAGAGGUGGGAAUGCAAACAAGAUCAACAAGUCAAAGGACGAUGGGCAAAGACUAUGAACACUGGGUUCACAGAAAACAAUAGCGGAUCUUAACCACACGGAAAGAUGAACAACCUUGCUCGUAAAGACACAACUGGCUAUUAUAUUACGCGAGAGUCUGAUAACGGGACGGUUGGGCAAGGCUGUGGGAAACAGGCGCCGGCCGAGAAAGCUGGCUGUGCUCUUCGAGUCUCUGUCCCCGGCUUAUCAUUCCCAACUCCCCUGAAGCGACAGUCAGGGGGUCCCUGGGGGGUUUGCAGGACAUUUGGACAAGGGCCUGACCGUCACAUCUUGGUGUGGCCCUAACUUUGCGAGCACUUUGGUCUGUGGCCAUUGAUGUGAACUGGCUAAGGGACACCCACGUUACCCAAACUCACAAGGAGCCGGUGCAGGAACUAGGACGGGAAAUCAUGUUUAAAGAUAUUUUAUUUAUUCAUCUUUAAGUAGGCUCCACACCCAGCAUGGGGCUUGAACUCAGACCCUGAGAUCAAGAGUCCCGUGCUCCACCGACUGAGCCAACCAGGCGCCCCCUAGAAUGGGAAAUCAUUACUUUACCAUGGGAAAUACUCCUUUGCCAUGACAGAACACGCAGCUCUGCAAUCCGAAGCACCUCAUUCUAAAGAUAAAAACGCCCGCAAAGUUAACUUAGCGAGCACACGAUGGCCUCGUAAGCGUGAGAGCGAGCAGAACUGUAGUAGAACACAGCGAAGGUUCUAAGUAUCACAAGCCACAAGAGGUUUGCUAAUCCCUUUGUAUAUGUACGGAUCCCCCGAUAUACUAUUUAUUCAUUCAGUUAUUCGACUACAUAGACUAAGCGUCCGGGUGCUGUUCAAAGCGCUGGAGAUGUAAAUGUGGACAACACAGACCAAGAUCCCUGCUCUAGAGCUUACACGCUGUUGAGCUAAAAGGCAAUAGACACGUGUUUAAACGUGGAGGGAUCCCGUGCUACGGGAUAAAAGAAAGCCAGGUAAGGGAGAAGCCGGGGCCCUGGCUGGAGGAGGGAAGAUGAAGCCCAGGAGUCUAUGCCGGCUGUUCAUAUUCUCACUUUCUACAUGAGGAGGCUGCGGAGCAGUGACUUGCCUGAGACACUUUCCCUGUGUUUGGCUCUCCCAGAUGUUCUAUAUCCCAAACAUGUCCCGUCAGUCCCAAUAAUGAUGUGCGAUAAUUUCUCAUGUCAUCAUCUCCCAGUUUAGAGAUAACAGGUGGAAGGGGGAGGGUGAAUCGAGGAGGCCAAGGAACACACUAGGUCACACUAGGUGAACCGGGCUUAGAGGCCAGGGAUUCGGAGCCCAUGCUCUCGGGUGCUGCAGCAGAGGGCGGCUUCCGGCCCGUCUGCGGGAAGAAGACCUGUGUGUCGGGCUCAGCAACACUUAGUCUCCUCGGGGGCUGCACACACAAGAAUCACUCUUCUCGGGGCGCCUGGGUGGCGCGGUCGUGAAGCAUCUGCCUUCCACUCGGGUCAUGAUCCCAGGGUCCUGGGAUCGAGUCCUGCACCGCGCUCCCUGCCCAGCGGGAAGCCUGCUUCUCCCCCCCCCCACCCCCCUCUUGUGUUCCCUCUCUCGCUGUCGCGC